rnacentral:rRNA from 1 species
CCUACGGGAGGCAGCAGUGAGGAAUAUUGGUCAAUGGCCGGAAGGCUGAACCAGCCAAGCCGCGUGAACGAGACGCCCUUCGGGGUGUAAAGUUCUGUCAGUGGGGACGAAAAAUGACGGUACCCACAGAGGAAGCACCGGCUAACUCCGUGCCAGCAGCCGCGGUAAUACGGAGGGUGCAAGCGUUGUCCGGAAUCAUUGGGCGUAAAGAGUUCGUAGGCGGCAUGUAAAGUCAGGUGUUAAAGGCGCAGGCUCAACCUGUGUAUGGCACUUGAUACUUGCAAGCUGGAAUGCGGUAGAGGUAAAGGGAAUUCCUGGUGUAGCGGUGAAAUGCUUAGAUAUCAGGAGGAACAUCGGUGGCGUAAGCGCUUUACUGGGCCGUAAUUGACGCUGAGGAACGAAAGCCAGGGUAGCAAAUGGGAUUAGAUACCCGGGUAGUC